rnacentral:rRNA from 1 species
AGAAUCAACGCUGGCGGCGUGCCUAACACAUGCAAGUCGAACGAGAAAGUGGAGCAAUCCAUGAGUAAAGUGGCGACCGGGUGAGUAACACGUGACUAACCUACCUUCGAGUGGGGGAUAACCUCGGGAAACCGAGGCUAAUACCGCAUAACAUCGUGAGAUCAAAGCAGUAAUGCGCUGGAAGAGGGGGUCGCGGCUGAUUAGCUAGUUGGCGGGUAAUGGCCCACCAAGGCGAAGAUCGGUAGCCGGCCUGAGAGGGCGCACGGCCGACACUGGAACUGAAACACGGUCCAGACUCCUACGGGAGGCAGCAGUGGGGAAUUUUGCGCAAUGGGGGAAACCCUGACGCAGCAACGCCGCGUGGAGGAUGAAGUCCCUUGGGACGUAAACUCCUUUCGACCAAGACGAUAAUGACGGUACUGGUGGAAGAAGCACCGGCUAACUCUGUGCCAGCAGCCGC